rnacentral:rRNA from 1 species
UCCUACGGGAGGCAGCAGUGGGGAAUAUUGCGCAAUGGGGGAAACCCUGACGCAGCAACGCCGCGUGAUUGAAGAAGGUCUUCGGGUCGUAAACUUCUUUGAUCAGGGAAGAAAGAAAUGACGGUACCUGAAAAACAAGCCACGGCUAACUACGUGCCAGCAGCCGCGGUAAUA